rnacentral:lncRNA from 1 species
CUGCUUUUAUGUGCUUAGCUUUGCAUUUUUGAGUUUUUACUGCAAGAGCUGCUACUGAGAGAGUGCAAGUGAAGUCAUCAACCAAGUGCUUUUGUUAUUAACUUUGAAGCUUUGCUGUUCUUCUGCUUCAUCAUUUUUCUCAUUGAGAUCAAUGAUUUUGAAUGCAAUCCUCAGAGAAAUGUUAAAAAAACAGAUUAUCCUCUAUGGGUCCUGUCUCUCUUCUUUCUCUAGCAAUCCAGUACACAAACUGAGACCCAGAUAGGAUGCUCUGGGCAGUCACACUGCUGUUCAUCCACCCUGACUUGUAUCCAUGCAGAUGCUGGGAAUGCCCAAUAGGAUGUAACACGGACCCCUCUGAGCAAGGCAUUCCCAAGGGAAAAAGAAAAUCCGUGAAGUGCUUAGUGCUUGGCUUGCUGCGGUGUGUUUCCUAUCAGAACUAUGAAAAAUUCCAAUAGUUACCCGAUAGAUUUUCUAGCUAUUCAGCUAACUUUUGUGUACAUAAAUCUUCAAGGGUAAAUUCAGGAAGUCAAGAUAGUUGCAGCCAAAAGAGCUCACUAGUUAAUAUUUUUUUCUAAAAAAAGGUGGUUCCUGGUUUGAAUGGAUCUCGUUAUAAAAUAUGGUCCACAUAUUGCACAUUUUGAACUACAUCCCAGGCUGAUCAUCUCUAUUUCAAAGAAAUGGAGAAGGACGUAGAAAUGUUGGCACAUGUGAUUUGUUCUUUAUUUUUAGGGAAACAAUUCUAUCAUGCAUUAUUAAUAUUAGAAAGAAAACACCAAGCUAAAAAUAGUGAUGUGUCUUCACCUCAAAAAUCUCAGGUUUUAAAUGUAUUUAUUUGUUUCUAGAGAAGACAUUCUUUCACUUCUUUUCUCUGUGAUAGUCAUAGCAACCCAGGCAAAAUUGAAUUACUCUGUCCUGAGAAGGCCAGGGCUGAGCAGUCAGCAAAACAAAUGACUAAUGUGCUGAUUAAUUCUAAAGGAGCGGAGAUAAAGCUGCUGCGGGACUGUGUCUUUAUUUGAACAGUUUAUAAUGAUCCUAGCCCAAAGAGUUUUGCUAAGCACUGACAUGUUGGGGAACUUGUGUUGUAAGGCAUGUGUUAGUUUUGUAUAGUUCUAGUAAUUAUGAGUGUAAGAGAUCUAUAAAACUGUAAUGUUGCUGCCUCUGCCAGGUCAGGAUUGCUUUCCAGGGCAGAUGUAGUACUUUGUUAUGGUAUUUAAAAUCCUACGGGUUCAAACUUCCAGAAGAGCAUGCAAGUCUGCAGCCAUGGUCACCCUUUGAGCUUCUCUUGGAGAGCAGAAGAAACUCAGCAAAAGGAACACAAAGUUAACCCAGCCCCCCUUUGAGCACAAAGUGCUAAGAGUGGACAUGUUUUCUGUUCCCACUUUCAUCCCAUUAUUCUCAUUUAUAUCACUUAUUGCCAUCUGAAAUGUAAUCCUUACAAAUACAACUAGUUAAUCC